UUGAGUUACGAUAAUUACUAUAUCAAUUUACAAGAUUAUAGUAACUCCUUACUAAGUGAUUUACUGUAACAUUACGGUAAAUAUUCUCAUGUGUUAUAGUAAUCCAACUAUCGUAAAUAUGUAUACAUAUUAUCGUAAAUUAGUAUAUAAAAUUAUCGUAAAUUAG
rnacentral:pre_miRNA from 1 species